rnacentral:lncRNA from 7 species
UCCUUGGAAUCCACAUAACGAAAUCCGCGUUCUCAAUCCCCCAUUUAAGCGAAAAACACGCGUUUUCUCUUCACAAAUCCGCCAUUUAAGCAAAAAUCACGCGUUUUCUCUUCAGGAAUCUUCCAUUUAACCCGAAAACCCGACGUUUCUCUUCGCAAAUCCCCUUUAAGUG